UUGCUCUCAAGACUUGGGCGACUACUACGCCUAUGGCAUUUAAACCUCCAGAAGAAAGAGCAGAAGAGAGCUUUCGUAGCUUAUAAAUCUUCCUCUCUCUUCCUCUCUCUCUCUCUUCGUUUGCCUUUCCGUCUGCAACUAAGAAUGGAAAAUCUCUCUCUGUUUCCCUCAAAAUACCUCUUAUUAGGCUCUUUGCCAAACCCUAGUGGCCUCUCGAGCAGACGCUUCUUCGCCCUCCCCCAGCCAUCUGGAAAGAUAAGAGAAGGCACACCCAAAACCAGAAAUUUUGUUUCAGCUCUUGGUCAGAGCAGUUACGAUGGCUCAGCCCGAAGACUUCCCAAAAAGGUGUUGGAGAAACUAGGUGUGGGCAGCAGUGAAACAUCUUCAGUUUGCAUCAAUCCUCAGCCUUCUGUGCCACCCCCUCAUCUUCCAUAGGAUCUCCUCUCUUCUGGAUCGGAGUAGGCAUCGAACUCUUUGCUUUAUUUUCAUGGGUGGCAACAUACUUAAAGGUGAGUGUGAUUAUUUCUUUAACCUUGUUGCGAGGUACGCCCGUGUCUUGACCAAAUUGGUCUUACACCUGAAGAAGUCAUUUCAAAAAUUAUGGCCAACCCUGAAGUUGCUAUGGCGUUUCAAAAUCCAGGAGUGCAAGCUGCCAUCAUGGAUUGUUCACAGAAUCCUCUGAGUGUAGCUAAAUAUCAAAAUGAAAAGGAGGUUAAGGAUGUUUUCAACAAAAUAGCAGAACUCUUCCCUGGGGCGACAGGUUCAUCUUGAUUUCCCCAGUUCUUCCAGACCAAGUAUUCCUGCCCUACUUCCGCAUUUCCAUGUGCCGAGGUGCAUUUUUCUCUCAUGACACCAGGUGUUAAAAGAAAUGUGCACAUUUCAUAUUGUUUCUGGAUGUUCUGAUGAAGGUGGCUUCUUCAUUUGCUGAUCCUCCUUGGUUUCUAAAUUGUAUUUAUGCACCAAGUCUUGGUUGUGCAGUUGAAUGCACUACCUGGUAGCAGUGCUAAAGGUGUCCUGUGUAUCUCAUUUGAAAAUCAAACAGAUGCAUCCAUCUUACUGUCUUAGGCUGUACUAUAGUCUAUGCUUCAAGUUUUUCUGUGAUUGUGAUAGCACAAGUUUUUCUGAUUUCUGUUUGCAUUCGACAAUCCAUGUGAACAGCCAUUUGUUUGUAUUACAAAUCCUUCUGUUAAAAGUUCA